rnacentral:rRNA from 1 species
AUGUUAGGUUCCUGCGGAAGGAUCAUUACCGAGUGCGGGUCCUUUGGGCCCAACCUCCCAUCUGUGUCUAUUAUACCCUGUUGCUUCGGCGGGCCCGCCGCUUGUCGGCCGCCGGGGGGGCGCCUUUGCCCCCCGGGCCCGUGCCCGCCGGAGACCCCAACACGAACACUGUCUGAAAGCGUGCAGUCUGAGUUGAUUGAAUGCAAUCAGUUAAAACUUUCAACAAUGGAUCUCUUGGUUCCGGCAUCGAUGAAGUAACGCAGCGAAAUGCGAUAACUAAUGUGAAUUGCAGAAUUCAGUGAAUCAUCGAGUCUUUGAACGCACAUUGCGCCCCCUGGUAUUCCGGGGGGCAUGCCUGUCCGAGCGUCAUUGCUGCCCUCAAGCCCGGCUUGUGUGUUGAGUCGCCGUCCCCCUCUCCGGGGGGACGGGCCCGAAAGGCAGCGGCGGCACCGCGUCCGAUCCUCGAGCGUAUGGGGCUUUGUCACAUGCUCUGUAGGAAUUGGCCGGCGCCUGCCGACGUUUUCCAACCAUUUUUUCCAGGUUGACCUCGGAUCAGGUAGGGAUACCCGCUGAAAUUAAGCAUAUCAAUAAGCGGAGGAAAAGAAACCAACCGGGAUUGCCUCAGUAACGGCGAGUGAAGCGGCAAGAGCUCAAAUUUGAAAGCUGGCUCCUUCGGAGUCCGCAUUGUAAUUUGCAGAGGAUGCUUUGGGUGCGGCCCCCGUCUAAGUGCCCUGGAACGGGCCGUCAGAGAGGGUGAGAAUCCCGUCUUGGGCGGGGUGUCCGUGCCCGUGUAA